rnacentral:rRNA from 1 species
UGGGGAAUUUUGGACAAUGGGGGAAACCCUGAUCCAGCCAUCCCGCGUGUGCGAUGAAGGCCCUCGGGUUGUAAAGCACUUUUGGCAGGAAAGAAACGUCAUGGGUUAAUACCCCGUGAAACUGACGGUACCUGCAGAAUAAGCACCGGCUAACUACGUGCCAGCAGCCGCGGCAAUACGUAGGGUGCAAGCGUUAAUCGGAAUUACUGGGCGUAAAGCGUGCGCAGGCGGUUCGGAAAGAAAGAUGUGAAAUCCCAGAGCUCAACUUUGGAACUGCAUUUUUAACUACCGGGCUAGAGUGUGUCAGAGGGAGGUGGAAUUCCGCGUGUAGCAGUGAAAUGCGUAGAUAUGCGGAGGAACACCGAUGGCGAAGGCAGCCUCCUGGGAUAACACUGACGCUCAUGCACGAAAGCGUGGGGAGCAAACAGG